GCGNGCNGGCCUAACACAUGCAAGUCGAGCGGCAGCGGGAAAGUAGCUUGCUACUUUUGCCGGNGAGCGGCGGACGGGUGAGUAAUGCCUGGGAAAUUGCCCAGUCGAGGGGGAUAACAGUUGGAAACGACUGCUAAUACCGCAUACGCCCUACGGGGGAAAGCAGGGGACCUUCGGGCCUUGCGCGAUUGGAUAUGCCCAGGUGGGAUUAGCUAGUUGGUGAGGUAAUGGCUCACCAAGGCGACGAUCCCUAGCUGGUCUGAGAGGAUGAUCAGCCACACUGGAACUGAGACACGGUCCAGACUCCUACGGGAGGCAGCAGUGGGGAAUAUUGCACAAUGGGGGAAACCCUGAUGCAGCCAUGCCGCGUGUGUGAAGAAGGCCUUCGGGUUGUAAAGCACUUUCAGCGAGGAGGAAAGGUCAGUAGCUAAUAUCUGCUGGCUGUGACGUUACUCGCAGAAGAAGCACCGGCUAACUCCGUGCCAGC
rnacentral:rRNA from 1 species